rnacentral:rRNA from 1 species
ACUGAACGCUGGCGGCAUGCUUUACACAUGCAAGUCGAACGGUAACAGGCCGCAAGGUGCUGACGAGUGGCGAACGGGUGAGUAAUGCAUCGGAACGUGCCCAGUCGUGGGGGAUAACUACUCGAAAGAGUAGCUAAUACCGCAUACGAUCUAUGGAUGAAAGCGGGGGACCGUAAGGCCUCGCGCGAUUGGAGCGGCCGAUGUCAGGUUAGGUAGUUGGUGGGGUAAAGGCUCACCAAGCCAACGAUCUGUAGCUGGUCUGAGAGGACGACCAGCCACACUGGGACUGAGACACGGCCCAGACUCCUACGGGAGGCAGCAGUGGGGAAUUUUGGACAAUGGGCGCAAGCCUGAUCCAGCAAUGCCGCGUGCAGGAAGAAGGCCUUCGGGUUGUAAACUGCUUUUGUACGGAACGAAACGGCUCUGGUUAAUACCCGGGGCUAAUGACGGUACCGUAAGAAUAAGCACCGGCUAACUACGUG